CCUACGGGAUGCAGCAGUGGGGAAUAUUGGGCAAUGGGCGCAAGCCUGACCCAGCAACGCCGCGUGAAGGAAGAAGGCUUUCGGGUUGUAAACUUCUUUUCUCAGGGACGAAGAAAGUGACGGUACCUGAGGAAUAAGCCACGGCUAACUACGUGCCAGCAGCCGCGGUAAUACGUAGGGGGCAAGCGUUAUCCGGAUUUAUUGGGUGUAAAGGGCGUGUAGGCGGGAGCGCAAGUCAGAUGUGAAAACUCAGGGCUCAACCCUGAACCUGCAUUUGAAACUGUGUUGCUUGAGUGCUGGAGAGGCAAGCGGAAUUCGGUGUGUAGCGGUGAAAUGCGUAGAUAUCAGGAGGAACACCGGUGGCGAAGGCGGCCUGCUGGACUGCAACUGACGUUGAGGCCCGAAAGCGUGGGGAGCAAACAGGAUUAGAUACCCCAGUAGUC
rnacentral:rRNA from 1 species